rnacentral:rRNA from 1 species
AAUUUGGGAGACGUGCGGAUAUGGGCNAAGCGCGCGCAGGCGGUUUCUUAGUCUGAUGUGAAAGCCCCCGGCUCAACCGGGGAGGGUCAUUGGAAACUGGGGAACUUGAGUGCAGAAGAGGAGAGUGGAAUUCCACGUGUAGCGGUGAAAUGCGUAGAGAUGUGGAGGAACACCAGUGGCGAAGGCGACUCUCUGGUCUGUAACUGACGCUGAGGCGCGAAAGCGUGGGGAGCGAACAGGAUUAGAUACCCUGGUAGUCCACGCCGUAAACGAUGAGUGCUAAGUGUUAGAGGGUUUCCGCCCUUUAGUGCUGCAGCAAACGCAUUAAGCACUCCGCCUGGGGAGUACGGUCGCAAGACUGAAACUCAAAGGAAUUGACGGGGGCCCGCACAAGCGGUGGAGCAUGUGGUUUAAUUCGAAGCAACGCGAAGAACCUUACCAGGUCUUGACAUCCUCUGACAACCCUAGAGAUAGGGCUUCCCCUUCGGGGGCAGAGUGACAGGUGGUGCAUGGUUGUCGUCAGCUCGUGUCGUGAGAUGUUGGGUUAAGUCCCGCAACGAGCGCAACCCUUGAUCUUAGUUGCCAGCAUUCAGUUGGGCACUCUAAGGUGACUGCCGGUGACAAACCGGAGGAAGGUGGGGAUGACGUCAAAUCAUCAUGCCCCUUAUGACCUGGGCUACACACGUGCUACAAUGGGCAGAACAAAGGGCAGCGAAGCCGCGAGGCUAAGCCAAUCCCACAAAUCUGUUCUCAGUUCGGAUCGCAGUCUGCAACUCGACUGCGUGAAGCUGGAAUCGCUAGUAAUCGCGGAUCAGCAUGCCGCGGUUGAAUACGUUCCCCGGGCCUUGUACACACCGCCCGUCACACCACGAGAGUUUGUAACACCCGAAGUCGGUGAGGUAACCUUUUGGAGCAGCCGCCGAAGUGGGACGAUGAUUGGGUGAUCAA